GGUUAAGCGACUAAGCGUACACGGUGGAUGCCCUGGCAGUCAGAGGCGAUGAAGGACGUGCUAAUCUGCGAUAAGCGUCGGUAAGGUGAUAUGAACCGUUAUAACCGGCGAUUUCCGAAUGGGGAAACCCAGUGUGAUUCGUCACACUAUCAUUAACUGAAUCCAUAGGUUAAUGAGGCGAACCGGGGGAACUGAAACAUCUAAGUACCCCGAGGAAAAGAAAUCAACCGAGAUUCCCCCAGUAGCGGCGAGCGAACGGGGAGGAGCCCAGAGCCUGAAUCAGUGUGUGUGUUAGUGGAAGCGUCUGGAAAGGCGCGCGAUACAGGGUGACAGCCCCGUACACAAAAAUGCACAUGCUGUGAGCUCGAUGAGUAGGGCGGGACACGUGGUAUCCUGUCUGAAUAUGGGGGGACCAUCCUCCAAGGCUAAAUACUCCUGACUGACCGAUAGUGAACCAGUACCGUGAGGGAAAGGCGAAAAGAACCCCGGCGAGGGGAGUGAAAAAGAACCUGAAACCGUGUACGUACAAGCAGUGGGAGCACAGAGCAAUCUGUGUGACUGCGUACCUUUUGUAUAAUGGGUCAGCGACUUAUAUUCUGUAGCAAGGUUAACCGAAUAGGGGAGCCGAAGGGAAACCGAGUCUUAACUGGGCGUUAAGUUGCAGGGUAUAGACCCGAAACCCGGUGAUCUAGCCAUGGGCAGGUUGAAGGUUGGGUAACACUAACUGGAGGACCGAACCGACUAAUGUUGAAAAAUUAGCGGAUGACUUGUGGCUGGGGGUGAAAGGCCAAUCAAACCGGGAGAUAGCUGGUUCUCCCCGAAAGCUAUUUAGGUAGCGCCUCGUGAAUUCAUCUCCGGGGGUAGAGCACUGUUUCGGCAAGGGGGUCAUCCCGACUUACCAACCCGAUGCAAACUGCGAAUACCGGAGAAUGUUAUCACGGGAGACACACGGCGGGUGCUAACGUCCGUCGUGAAGAGGGAAACAACCCAGACCGCCAGCUAAGGUCCCAAAGUCAUGGUUAAGUGGGAAACGAUGUGGGAAGGCCCAGACAGCCAGGAUGUUGGCUUAGAAGCAGCCAUCAUUUAAAGAAAGCGUAAUAGCUCACUGGUCGAGUCGGCCUGCGCGGAAGAUGUAACGGGGCUAAACCAUGCACCGAAGCUGCGGCAGCGACACUGUGUGUUGUUGGGUAGGGGAGCGUUCUGUAAGCCUGUGAAGGUGUGCUGUGAGGCAUGCUGGAGGUAUCAGAAGUGCGAAUGCUGACAUAAGUAACGAUAAAGCGGGUGAAAAGCCCGCUCGCCGGAAGACCAAGGGUUCCUGUCCAACGUUAAUCGGGGCAGGGUGAGUCGACCCCUAAGGCGAGGCCGAAAGGCGUAGUCGAUGGGAAACAGGUUAAUAUUCCUGUACUUGGUGUUACUGCGAAGGGGGGACGGAGAAGGCUAUGUUGGCCGGGCGACGGUUGUCCCGGUUUAAGCGUGUAGGCUGGUUUUCCAGGCAAAUCCGGAAAAUCAAGGCUGAGGCGUGAUGACGAGGCACUACGGUGCUGAAGCAACAAAUGCCCUGCUUCCAGGAAAAGCCUCUAAGCAUCAGGUAACAUCAAAUCGU
rnacentral:rRNA from 1 species